UAAGGAAUAUUGGACAAUGGAGGCAACUCUGAUCCAGCCAUGCCGCGUGAAGGAAUAAGGCCCUAUGGGUUGUAAACUUCUUUUAGACGGGACAAAACCCCUUUACGUGUAAAGGGUUGAUGGUACUGUCAGAAUAAGCAUCGGCUAACUUCGUGCCAGCAGCCGCGGUAAUACGAAGGAUGCAAGCGUUAUCCGGAAUUAUUGGGUUUAAAGGGUGCGUAGGCGGACUAAUAAGUCAGUGGUGAAAGCCUGCAGCUUAACUGCAGAAUUGCCAUUGAUACUGUUAGUCUUGAGUACAGUUGAGNUAGGCGGAAUGUGUCAUGUAGCGGUGAAAUGCUUAGAUAUGACACAGAACACCGAUUGCGAAGGCAGCUUGCUAAGCUGUAACUGACGCUGAGGCACGAAAGCGUGGGGAGCAAACA
rnacentral:rRNA from 1 species